rnacentral:ncRNA from 1 species
UAUCUGGUUGAUCCUGCCAGUAGUCAUAUGCUUGUCUCAAAGAUUAAGCCAUGCAUGUCUAAGUAUAAGCACUUGUACUGUGAAACUGCCAAUGGCUCAUUAAAUCAGUUAUCGUUUAUUUGAUUGUACCUUUACUUCUUGGAUAACC